rnacentral:rRNA from 1 species
CCUGGCGGCUGGAGCCCGGUGGUCCCCACUGACCCCAUGCCGAACUCAGAAGUGAAACGCCGUAGCGCCGAUGGUAGUGUGGGGCCUCCCCAUGCGAGAGUAGGGAACUGCCAGGC